rnacentral:rRNA from 1 species
ACGCGUAUGCAACCCUACCUUUCACAGGGGGAUAGCCCGAAGAAAUUUGGAUUAAUACCCCAUAAUAUUAUUGGAUGGCAUCAUUUGAUAAUUAAAACUGCGGUGGUGAAAGAUGGGCAUGCGUCCUAUUAGCUAGUUGGAGUGGUAACGGCACCCCAAGGCUACGAUAGGUAGGGGUCCUGAGAGGGAGAUCCCCCACACUGGUACUGAGACAGGGACCAGACUCCUACGGGAGGNAGCAGUGAGGAAUAUUGGUCAAUGGUCGGAAGACUGAACCAGCCAUGCCGCGUGCAGGAAGAAUGCCUUAUGGGUUGUAAACUGCUUUUAUAUGGGAAGAAUAC